rnacentral:rRNA from 1 species
UACGUAUGGUGCAAGCGUUAUCCGGAUUUACUGGGUGUAAAGGGAGCGUAGGCGGCGCGUUAAGUCUGAUGUGAAAACCCGAGGCUCAACCACGGGAGUGCAUUGGAAACUGGCGGGCUGGAGUGCCGGAGAGGUAAGCGGAAUUCCUAGUGUAGCGGUGAAAUGCGUAGAUAUUAGGAGGAACACCAGUGGCGAAGGCGGCUUACUGGACUGUAACUGACGUUGAGGCUCGAAAGCGUGGGGAGCAAACAGG